rnacentral:rRNA from 1 species
UACGAAGGGGGCUAGCGUUGCUCGGAAUCACUGGGCGUAAAGGGCGCGUAGGCGGCCAUUCAAGUCGGAGGUGAAAGCCCAGGGCUCAACCCUGGAAUUGCCUUCGAUACUGUUUGGCUAGAGACCGGAAGAGGUAAGUGGAACUGCGAGUGUAGAGGUGAAAUUCGUAGAUAUUCGCAAGAACACCAGUGGCGAAGGCGGCUUACUGGUCCGGUUCUGACGCUGAGGCGCGAAAGCGUGGGGGGCAAACAGG